UUUAACUUUGCACCGUCGGUGUAUACUUUUUUUACACUGACACAUACUUUUAAGGGAAGUUUCUUUUUUAUUAUUAAUAUUUUUAUUUUAUAAAAUAUAAAUAUCAGAUAUAGUAAUAUAACGUAAUUAGGAUUCUACUUUUAUUUUACCCAUUAGUUUACACUCUGUUUGGAUCAUUGAGGAAAAGGGAUUUCGAUGAUAUUGAUGUUGGUGUCGGAAAGGGAAUUGGAGAAGAAUGGACGAUUUGCAGGAGUGGUGAAGAUGGUAAUGGAAAUUUUGCGGCAGAGAAGAAAGCGAGCAAGGUCGAAGAUAGGAAUUGUGUGGCCCUUGGACAUGAAAGGGAAAACAACAACAUGGAUAGUACGAGGAGAAGGAGAAGCCAUCUCUCUGCACUCUGCUCCUUCGAUUGUUGAUAUUUUUGAGAAUUUGGGAUUGUUCUCAUAAAUAGAUCCAAUGUUUGGUAAAUAAGAAAAUAUUUCUCAAGAGCAUUUAUAUGUUAUCUAGCUAAAUAUUAUGAAGACGGGAUGAGAUGUAGAAUGGGGGUUCGGGAGAUUGAGUGGGUGGUGACGACUGACGGGAUAAUAAAUUUGAAAUGUUAUCUAUGCAACUUGUUUUCUUUGCAUGCAUUUAGGAAAAUCAUUUUUCUUAUCUUUAAGGAGCUUGUUUUCUUAGAAAGAUAUUUUUCAAAUAUUUUAAUAACCAAAAAACAUUUUACUUUGUAUCUAACACACCCAAAGAAUCUGACACUAUUUAAAAAUCACAAAAUUUAGAAAGAAAUAAAGAUUUUAAGAUUUAUUAUCAAAAAUUUUAAAUGAUUGUAUGAUUAUAAGUGAAGAAUGAAACGAAAAUUUUAACGUAAAAUUGUUUCUAAAUAUAAAUGAUGUAAUAAACUUUUAGAACAUACUAAAAGGAAAAGUAUGUUAUUAUCAUAUAAAUUGAGACAUAAAAAUCAAGAUACUCUAUUUCUAAUGGUCUCAUCUUAUAUAAUGGUAAUUAAAGAAGGGAAAAUUGUAUGAAAUAACAAAUUAUUAAUUCAAAUUAAAUGUUAUAGUCAUAGUUGUCUUAACUAGUAAAUUUGUCUAUACUCUUCGCUAUUACAAAAAAUAAUAAUAUAUUUCACUAUAGAACUCCUUGAAAAAUCUUGAGAUAAAAAAAAAAAGAGUUUAACUUUGCACCGUCGGUGUAUACUUUUUUUACACUGACACAUACUUUUAAGGGAAGUUUCUUUUUUAUUAUUAAUAUUUUUAUUUUAUAAAAUAUAAAUAUCAGAUAUAGUAAUAUAACGUAAUUAGGAUUCUACUUUUAUUUUACCCAUUAGUUUACACUCUGUUUGGAUCAUUGAGGAAAAGGGAUUUCGAUGAUAUUGAUGUUGGUGUCGGAAAGGGAAUUGGAGAAGAAUGGACGAUUUGCAGGAGUGGUGAAGAUGGUAAUGGAAAUUUUGCGGCAGAGAAGAAAGCGAGCAAGGUCGAAGAUAGGAAUUGUGUGGCCCUUGGACAUGAAAGGGAAAACAACAACAUGGAUAGUACGAGGAGAAGGAGAAGCCAUCUCUCUGCACUCUGCUCCUUCGAUUGUUGAUAUUUUUGAGAAUUUGGGAUUGUUCUCAUAAAUAGAUCCAAUGUUUGGUAAAUAACAAAAUAUUUCUCAAGAGCAUUUAUAUGUUAUCUAGCUAAAUAUUAUGAAGACGGGAUGAGAUGUAGAAUGGGGGUUCGGGAGAUUGAGUGGGUGGUGACGACUGACGGGAUAAUAAAUUUGAAAUGUUAUCUAUGCAACUUGUUUUCUUUGCAUGCAUUUAGGAAAAUCAUUUUUCUUAUCUUUAAGGAGCUUGUUUUCUUAGAAAGAUAUUUUUCAAAUAUUUUAAUAACCAAAAAACAUUUUACUUUGUAUCUAAC
rnacentral:lncRNA from 1 species